GGGGCGGUGGGUGGUGGUUAUGAGCGGUGUGGUGCAGCAGUGGAUAAUAGAUGUGGUGCGGUGGGAGGUGGUUAUGAGUGCUGCGGUGGGAGGUGGGUUGUAAGUGGUGGGGCGGUAGAUAAUAGAUGUAGAGAGGGGUGGUAGGUGGCGGUUGUUUGUGGUGGUUGGUGGUGGACAUAUGUAGAGAGAGGGAGAACAAUAGAGAGAGGGGUGUUGUUUGUGGUGGUUGGUAGUGGACAAAUGUCCACCGACGUGUCCCGCUACCUCUCAUAUACCAUCUCUGCUUAAACAAUCAGGCCCACAACUCUCACUAAACCAAUGCCGCUGCUUGAAAAACCCCUCCAACAACGUCGCCAAUCAACGCCAAAUCAGAGUAUUGGGAGACGAAGCGUAGAUCGGGUUCCAUCGACAGAGAGACGGUGGUGUGUCACUCAACCACCAGUAAGGGCAAGCUUUCUAGCAGCGAUUAGGUGUCUCGAAGUGGUUCACGGCGGCGCUUCGGGUUUCGGCGUCCCUGUCUCUAUAUUAAGAUUUGGGAAGUUAUGAACAGUUGAGAGUGAAUCAGAUCAACAACCCAUCUCUCUGCAGGCCUCACUCAUGUUUUGGUGGUAGUAAGAGGAUUAGAUGAAAAUGUUGAUGCGGGAUGAUCCGCUAGACAUGCUCCAAUUCAGGAUCUUCGACUUGUCCAAGACAAGUUUACUCAUGUUUCAAGGGGAUUCUCCUUCAUACAUUUUCAUUCUGUUGAUGGCGCCACCAAAGCUCUCCAGCCAACAAAUGGGACUGCAGUUGAAAAAAAUGGAUAAGCUGUACGAGUACCAUAUUCCAAAAGCAUCCUACCGGCAUGGCUGCACCCAUUAAACCAAAAGGCGUUUGGAUGUAUCAGUUAUGCACAUGGAAUGAAACUAAUGCUAUGGCGAGAUUGUUAUUGAUGUAGUUUAAGUUGGUAGCUGAAUGUGGAGCUAUUGUUGAAGCCACUAAAUCUGCGCCCAGUCGAAGCAAAAACAAGUAGUGACAUUGCCGAGGUAUGCAGGUCCAUGGUGUUACUUUUGUUAUCACGCUAAGAUCUAUCGCGUAAUGCAUGUAAUUUAUCCCUAAUUUUUAUAUGAAAACUCUUCCCACCCUUGACGUCUUAAUUCUGCAAGCAGUACUGCUUAUCUAUAGGUCAGAAGCAACACUGCUUACUACAUGCCUUAGCUAGCUUACUCGAUGUAGCUGAAACAAUCUUUUUUGUGACGAACAUACGGCUUUAGUGAUAUAUAAAAGUUGUACUCGCCGCAUUGCGACGGGUACUAAUUCUAGUUUUA